rnacentral:rRNA from 1 species
AGCGAACGUUAGCGGCGCGCCUAACACAUGCAAGUCGCACGAGAAAGGGAGCAAUCCCCGGUACAGUGGCGCACGGGUGAGUAACACGUAGAUGACCUUCCCUGGAGUGGUGGAUAACCUGCCGAAAGGCGGGCUAAUACAGCAUGGGACCACAUGGUUUUGACCGAGUGGUGAAAGCGGGCCUCUGUUCACAAGCUCGCGCUCUGGGAUGGGUCUGCGUCCCAUCAGCUAGUUGGUGAGGUAAUGGCUCACCAAGGCAUCGACGGGUAGCUGGUCUGAGAGGAUGACCAGCCACACUGGAACUGAGACACGGUCCAGACUCCUACGGGAGGCAGCAGUGGGGAAUCUUGCGCAAUGGGCGAAAGCCUGACGCAGCGACGCCGCGUGGGUGAUGAAGGCCUCGGUUGUAAG